GCCGAAGCCACUGACAGCUUGACAGAUGGAUCAAACUCAGCAGAAGAAGACAGAUCGAAGCCAAGAGGCCGAUCGGUCCAAACAUCGUCCUGGCCUGCAGAACCAGAACAGAGCAGCAGUGUAUUUACAGGACUGAUGGACCUCUUGGCUCCGUCCUCCUCUGCUGACUCGUCUCCAUCCGUCAAGCUGUCCUUGUCCUCGGGUCUCGGUCUCGUUAGGCUGCAGCUCGUAGCCUCGAUCUGUCAGAGGAUGAUGAGUGUCUCCUGAAAGCAUCCACGGCUUCAUGUGUGGGAAUAUUUCUACCGGAGGAGUCGAGUUUCCUCCAGAGCCACUAUAAACAUCCCACAGAGGAGAAUUCUUUAACACAAAAAGACCUGAGAGAUGAAGAACAACGACCUCCAUCUGCACUUCAGUCAGAAAACCAGGAGAAUGGAGGCGAGAAAAUGGAAAAAAUACUCAAUGAAAUCUAGUUUUUCUGUUUACAUUUUUAAAAAAUAAACUUAUCUGUAUCUUC